UCCAAUUUUAUUUAUAUGUAUAGAUAUAUAGAUUUCAAAUUAUAUAUCAACAACAAUGUUGGGGAUUCGCACUGAAUUUCAUAUUUCCAAGUUUAUGUAAUGCUAUAAGAACAGUUGCGUUUCUAGUUGCCGAGUCCAAAGGUGCCGAACGUGUCUAACGAAAUAACCAGUUCACAGAAAGUCAGUUUGCUGAAUGGUAGGAUUUCGCUCUCUUCCGUUCGAGCGUUCAAGUAGUUAGGACGUGCGAAUACUUAAUCAAAAUCUAGGUAGGAUCAUUUUAUUGUUAUUCUUGUUUAUUUACAAACAAUAUGAUUUCGUAAAAUAGUUUUUCUCAUGUACAGAUUUCUGUUUUUGUUUUUGUUGUAGAUUAGUAACUUGCUGCACAAUGAAGAUUCUCCCUCACCAAUCAAGCCGAAAUUUCCGAAGUUGACCUGUUAUUAAGACUAGGCAUGUGUUACGGCUUCAUUUCAUUAUCUUCCGCUGCUGUACACAACGUGAACUUAAUCCUUUCGAAACUAGGAAAGCUUUGAGCUACAAACCACACUCCACGAUUCUCCUGAACGAAAAGGAUGGUAAUAGCAAGAAUGUUGGGUUCUUCGUGGAUGGUGACGUGGUUGUCACGACACUCUGGAGCAACGGCAACAGCAAGAUGUUACAGAUAUGUAACAUUCUCCCUAAUCAAUCAAGCCGAUAACUACGAAGUUGACCUGUGACUAGGACAAGGCAUGUGUUACGGUUCCGUUUCAUUAUCUUCCGCUGCUGGACACAACGUGAAACUUAAUUUUUUCGAAACUGGGGAAGCUUUGAGCUACAAACCACACUCCACGGUUCUGAUGAACGAAAAGGAUGGUAAUAGCAAGAAUGUUGGGCAACAGCAAGAUAUUACAGAUAGAAAUUAAAGAACCAAAUCUUAAUAUUAAGUCAAGGAAAGCACCUGCACCAGAUGGAUUUGUACCACACGCUUCCAAGUUGGAGAAGUUGUCCAAUAAACCUUAUCUCUAUGCUGAGGCAUCAGUAGUCAAUCUUAAAAAAGGAGUUGCUGAUUUGUUCCAUGUAAUUCUUUCUUUUUUAUAUUGAAAAUUUUGUUACAAAUAUUGCUUGUUUCAAAUAUUGGAUGUGGAAAUGCGUGAAACUGACGCUUCAGGAGAAUGUACUGCAAAAUAUUUCUCAAACAUCUCAAAUUUGACCAAACAAGUCUGUAUAUCUCUAGAUUAAUCCUACAUUUACAAUCCUGACUCAAUUUUAGAAACAGUUAUAAAAUCAUUUGGAUAUACGAAAUAUAAUUUGGAUCUUAUGAACAAUAUUAUAAAAUCGAUGACUUCUAGGGAGAGCCAUCAAAUGUUCGUUUCAGCGAAAGAUUUGGGUAAUUUUGUUAAGGCGGGACAAAUUUUAAGUCUAUUUGGUCGCAGUAUUUCACUAGGAUGAUUUAGAAAUAGUAAUCGUUACUUCUAGUGGUAUAUUUUACAGUCAGGAGUAUCUUCUAACGGACAAGGAGGAAGAUAACAAAGAUGUUCAAAGUUUUCCCGUUCUAGUGAACGAAUUAAGGAAUAGUUUAAAGAAUGAAGCUUUGGAAGAAUUAAAAUCAGUCAGAAGCUUUAUAAUACUUAUUAACUCUAGAAGAAGAGCCAGUAAAGCGGAAAUCACCAAAGCUCUUGAUCAUAAGUUUACAUAUGUAUGAUGUGGGUUUCAUUCAAACUGUUGAUUCAAAUUCACAACAAAAUAUUGAUAUUUGAUAAUGAACAGAGUAUCGAUCAAAAUAAAAGAUAUUUAUGGGCUUUGCCCAUUUGUUUCCAACCAAAUCAUGAUGUCAUGAUGACCUUUUAAACAAUUACAAUAAAAACAUAAAUAUCCCAGCUAAAGUCAAAGAGAGCAUCAUUCUCAUUUUGACUUCUAAAUCUAAAGUUCUCCAUGAUGUGGAAGAAACUAUUAAACAAUUUAGAUUAUGGACGUUCUAAUUCUUCCAUGCAUUAGACAAAUCUUUUUAGAAUAAAUUUGUUCUGAAAGCCGCAGAAUAACCUUCUUUCAGUUGGACAAGAAACACGAAACAAGAUGCAGAACUAUUUCAACUAAUUUUAUUCUUUUGUCCAAUCCCUCAAAUGAAAUGAUUAAAAAGUUGUUGGAAUAUUUAUAUUCUAAACAUCCUGGAUUUGAAAUCAAAUAAUAUGCACUGCAAACUCUUGUUGGCCGAUGAGAAUCUUGAGUUUAAAGAGAAAUUGAUGAGAAUCAUCUGAAGCGACAACAAACUGAACAACUACUCUACGUUAUCGCCAAGAGGAAUGUCGACUGCUUUAACUAGAAACUUCAUGAAAACACUCUCGUGUAAUGCACCAAGAAUUGAAAAACGGAAUCGCAAAGGUGUCAUGAUGGACAAAGAUGGCUUUUUUCAAGAAAUUUUCACCGCAAGUAACAAUUUAACUUUGUUACCCUUCCUUACUUUGAGGGUUUUGUGUUUCUGCAGCUUGGUAUAUUUUCUGGUGGUCUUUCCAGUUUCAUGUUCAGUUCUUGGAACGCAGCUCAGACCGUUCACGUUUGGUCUGGAACUGCUUCCGAGAAAACGCAUGCGUAUCACGCAAAUAUAUUGUUGCAAGAUCAUUUGGAAUACAUUUUUUAGAGCUGGAAUUUUGUUAGUGGGAUCAACCAAAGUUGAUACGGUAUUGGUAAAGUCUCAAUUGAAAUUACUGCAUCUAUUGAACCGAAAUUGAACCUUCAAACUGAUAUCGAUUUUUUCUCUAAAAUGAAUUUGUGCAUGAGACUAACGUAACCUACCAUCACAUAUCAAAUUAUAAUAAUGUUUGUAUUUUAGGUGAAAGCCAUAGCUAUUCUUAACGGGAUGACGGGGCCCGAAAAGACUUAACAGGGGUGAAGGAAGGUUAGUGUAUAAAGUGAACAUUAAAACACAACUUUUACUAUCAAUUUAUUUAUUAUGACAGACGUGGUCCGACAUAACAGCAAGAACUAAAACUAAACUCGCCACACAGAGAAAGGAACUUUCAAAAACGGGAGGGGGCAGGCGAAAAUUUGCGGCCUUAACCGGUUUAAGGCAGACAUUGCCGGUCUGAUUAAGCCCUCUGCGAUAGAAGGAGUGGCAAAUAUCCCCCUCCCAGUCGUCAAAUUAGAAUUUCCUCCGGGUACGUCGGACCCCCCGCUUUUUCCUGACGUGCUAGGGCCUUUGUCAGCUCCGGACGUGCCGCGCCAACCCUUACAACGUUUAAGGAGUAAAAAGCAAAAAAGUUCCACAUAUGAUGCAUACGAAAAAUAUACUCAAUAUUUUAAAAAAAAUAGAGAUGAAGGAGAGAAAUCAUCAACAAAAGAUGGAGGCUUUGGAGAAUAUUGUGGGUGCCUUGAAUACAUCCUCAGCGUCAAAUGCACAGGCCUUAAUCCAAAUGGCCCAGGCGUUGUCAUAGACUGCUGUGGCACUGGACCACAUGGCGGAAGCCAUAAAUAAAUUGGCGCAGUAUCGAUGACUAUUUGUUUUUGUUACUAUUUUUGUUAAAAUUUAUUUUCGGAAUUUCAUUUUUUUUAUAUUAUUUAUUAAAUUUUGUUAUAUAAGCAUAGUUUAUUAUUUUAUUUACAUUUAAUUUUUUUGAAAUCCUUGGGGUGCAACUGAAAAGUUACGUUUCUUAUAAACUUUUUUAUUUUAUCUUUUAAUUCAAAACACUUGACCCAGCGAAGCUCUUUAACUAGUUUGAAAUCUAGCUGUGAUUAAACGGUUACGGAUUGCUUUAUCAGCUGCCAAUUCAGGAUUUAUUCCUCCAACUUCUGAUAAAUUGUCAAAUAAGCCUGAAAAUUAAUUGUUUAAAACUUGUUAUUAUAAAGUUAUUUUAAAAGAUAUAUACCAUCAUCUACGUGAUCAUCUUCAUUUUCAUCUUCUGGUAAAAUCAAAUUAUUUUUAAUACAAAAUUGCAAGAUUUAAAUAAUCUUUUAAAGAGUGGUUAACAUUAUAUUGUUAGCAAUAUUAUGGUCCACCCAGUUUGCAACCCACAACUCUUCGAUGUCAUAGAGGUGGUGUGUUUAUCAGGAGAGAUAAAAUGGCGUUUUGAGUUGUUCCGUUAUUCUUUGCACAGUUAUUCAUAAUAAACCAUGUAUAUAUUUAUAAUAGUGCUUUUAAUGGCAUAACAAUAUUAACAUAUUAAAUAACCAAUACUGAUUUUUUGCUUUUAGCAUUGGCCCAAGAAUCCAAGAUGCUUCUUCAUUAAGUUGUAAGUUCUUAGAACAAAUAAAAAAUUAAACUGGCAUGACAUUUUACAAAGAAAGGAAAUGAAAUGAAUGAAAUGUAACUAAUAAAGAAUUUAAUGAAGAAACUAGAAUCCUUUCCACCAAGUUGUAAGUUCCUUAGGAUAGUUGAGAUUAAACUGGCAUGAAAUUUUAUGAAGAAAGAAAAUGAAAUGAAUUAGAAACGUAAAUAUAAAAGGUGAGUUUCACAUUUACUAUAAAUUAAUUUUGCAUAUUAUCAUUCUGAGUGUGUUGAAGUUUAUGGUUGUAAUUGACUGUU